GAUGAACGCUGGCGGCGUGCCUAACACAUGCAAGUCGAGCGAUUCUCUUCGGAGAAGAGCGGCGGACGGGUGAGUAACGCGUGGGUAACCUGCCCUGUACACACGGAUAACAUACCGAAAGGUAUGCUAAUACGAGAUAAUAUACUUUUAUCGCAUGGUAGAAGUAUCAAAGCUCCGGCGGUACAGGAUGGACCCGCGUCUGAUUAGCUAGUUGGUAAGGUAACGGCUUACCAAGGCGACGAUCAGUAGCCGACCUGAGAGGGUGAUCGGCCACAUUGGAACUGAGACACGGUCCAAACUCCUACGGGAGGCAGCAGUGGGGAAUAUUGCACAAUGGGCGAAAGCCUGAUGCAGCAACGCCGCGUGAGCGAUGAAGGCCUUCGGUCGUAAAGCUCUGUCCUCAAGGAAGAUAAUGACGGUACUUGAGGAGGAAGCCCGGCGUAACUACGUGCCAGCAGCCGCGGUAAU
rnacentral:rRNA from 1 species